UUGCUCCACUUGAACCUGAUGAGGUGGAAAUGCUUCUAGGUUUUCCUAAAAACCAUACACGAGGAGGAGGAUCUAGUCGGACAGAGAGGAUUAAAUCGCUCGGUAAUUCAUUCCAGGUCGACACAGUGGCUUAUCAUCUUUCAGUCUUAAGAGACAUGUUCCCGACGGUAUCAAUGUCCUGUCUCUUUUCUCUGGGAUUGGUGGUGCAGAGGUUGCCCUCUACAGGCUUGGCAUACCUUUGAAGGCUGUUGUAUCGGUUGAGAAGUCGGAAGUGUGCAGAAACAUUGUUAGGAGUUGGUGGGAGCAAACAAAUCAACGGGGACUCUAAUUGAUAUACCAGAUGUGCAAGAACUGAAUGGUGAUCGGUUGGAGCAAUUGAUGAGUAGAUUUGGCGGAUUUGACCUUGUUGUCGGUGGCAGCCCGUGUAACAACCUUACGGAAGCAACAGACACCAUCGAGACGGACUCGAGGGUAAAGAAUCUUCUCUUUUCUACGAUUAUUGUCGUAUAUUAGACUUGGUUAGACUUAUGCAAAGGAAUCAAUGAUUUCAUGUGAAGGCUUAUUUGUGCAUCAAAUUGAAUUUGUCUUGCAUCUUUGUUAUUGUCUGAACAUAACAGUGCUUCCGACUUAACUUAGAAUGAAGUGUUUAAAGUUGAACAUAAUUGUGUUGGACCGUAUUCGUACCUGAUACGUACACUUAACAUUCUCCA